UACGAAGGGGGCUAGCGUUGUUCGGAAUUACUGGGCGUAAAGCGCACGUAGGCGGAUCGAUCAGUCAGGGGUGAAAUCCCAGGGCUCAACCCUGGAACUGCCUUCGAUACUGGCGAUCUUGAGUCCGGAAGAGGUGAGUGGAACUCCUAGUGUAGAGGUGGAAUUCGUAGAUAUUAGGAAGAACACCAGUGGCGAAGGCGGCUCACUGGUCCGGUACUGACGCUGAGGUGCGAAAGCGUGGGGGAGCAAACAGGGAGUUA
rnacentral:rRNA from 1 species